AUUGAACGCUGGCGGCAUGCCUUACACAUGCAAGUCGAACGGUAACGCGGGGCAACCUGGCGACGAGUGGCGAACGGGUGAGUAAUGCAUCGGAACGUGCCCAGUAGUGGGGGAUAGCCCGGCGAAAGCCGGAUUAAUACCGCAUACGACCUACGGGCGAUAGGGGGGGAUCGCAAGACCUCUCGCUAUUGGAGCGGCCGAUGUCAGAUUAGGUAGUUGGUGGGGUAAAGGCCGACCAAGCCUACGAUCUGUAGCUGGUCUGGGAGGACGACCCGCCAGACUGGGGCUGAGACACGGCCCAGAGUCCUACGGGAGGCAGCAGUGUGGAAUUUUGGACAAUGGGCGCAAGCCUGAUCCAGCCAUGCCGCGUGCGGGAAGAAGGCCUUCGGGUUGUAAACCGCUUUUGUCAGGGAAGAAACGCUCUGGAAUAAUACUCUGGGGUAAUGACGGUACCUGAAGAAUAAGCACCGGCUAACUACGUGCCAGCCGCCGCAGUAA
rnacentral:rRNA from 1 species